CGUGGGUAACCUACCCAUCAGAGGGGGAUAACACUUGGAAACAGGUGCUAAUACCGCAUAACAGUUUAUGCCGCAUGGCAUAAGAGUGAAAGGCGCUUUCGGGUGUCGCUGAUGGAUGGACCCGCGGUGCAUUAGCUAGUUGGUGAGGUAACGGCUCACCAAGGCCACGAUGCAUAGCCGACCUGAGAGGGUGAUCGGCCACACUGGGACUGAGACACGGCCCAG
rnacentral:rRNA from 2 species